AAAGAUUAAGCCAUGCAUGUCUAAGCACAUGCCUUAAUACGGUGAAGCCGCGAAUAGCUCAUUACAACAGCCACCGUUUACUAGAAUAUAGUUAUCCUACUUGGAUAACUGUGGCAAUUCUAGAGCUAAUACAUGCAAAAAAGCUCUGCCCGCAAGGAACGAGCGCAUUUAUUAGAAUAAAAACCAAUCGGGUUUCGGCCCGUAAUUUGGUGAAUCUGAAUAACUUUGCCAAUCGCACGGUCCUAGUACUGGCGAUGUAUCUUUCAAGUGUCUGCCUUAUCAACUUUCGAUGGUAGGUUAUACGCCUACCAUGGUAGUAACGGGUAACGGAGAAUAAGGGUUCGACUCCGGAGAGGGAGCCUGAGAAACGGCUACCACAUCCAAGGAAGGCAGCAGGCGCGCAAAUUACCCACUUCCAGAACGGAGAGGUAGUGACGAAAAAUAACGAGACAGUCCUCUUCGAGGUCUGUCAUCGGAAUGGGUACAACUUAAAUCCUUUAACGAGGAUCUAUUGGAGGGCAAGUCUGGUGCCAGCAGCCGCGGUAAUUCCAGCUCCAAUAGCGUAUAUUAAAGUUGUUGCGGUUAAAACGCUCGUAGUUGGAUCUGCGGCCUCGGAGAACGGUCCCCCGAAAGGGUGGUCACUGUCUCUCCUAGCCUAAAUUCGGGUCGUCUCUAGGUGCUCUUUACCGAGUGCCUAGAGUGACUAGAACGUUUACUUUGAAAAAAUUAGAGUGCUUAAAGCAGGCGAAAUAGCCUGAAUAAGGUGCAUGGAAUAAUGGAAUAGGACCUCGGUUCUAUUUUGUUGGUUUUCGGAACCCGAGGUAAUGAUUAAGAGGAACAGACGGGGGCAUUCGUAUUCCGGCGCUAGAGGUGAAAUUCUUGGACCGCCGGAAGACGGACAACUGCGAAAGCAUUUGCCAAGAAUG
rnacentral:rRNA from 1 species